UUUAUUUAGUUUUGACACCAGAUUAAAUGUGAACGUCAGCAUUAUUUUUUAUGUAUUUAUUUUUAUUUCAACUUAAAUGUUUGUGGUGUUAAUCUAAUAGCUUAACCGUUUUAACCAAGGAAGAUGCUAAUUUAGACAAUCAAGCUGGUCAACACAGAAUAGAACUGCAACAAAUCACCCAAAAAUCUAUAGAAGCUAACAAGGUCACGGUCAGUAGAACUCAAAGCAUCUCAAAUGCCUUUGAGAGCUGCCUUCAAUCAAGCUCAAAUUUUUGUGACGUUAACAUUAAAGAAACUUCAAUCCGUAACAAAGAUAAGACGCAAACAAAUUUUGAAACCUAUAACAGCCCUGCUGGAAACCGCAGCAUGACUAAUACCAAUGGCUUUUCACACUCACCUGACAUUUUAACUGCCAAACCUUGUGUAGGGUUAGAUCUAGUGGCUUCAAGUAUGGGCAUCUCUAAAAGUGAAGUAUCUAGUAAAGCUCCUACUAUACCUUCUGCGCUUAAGAGUGAUAAAAAACCUAGUGAACAUAAAACUGUACGAAUAACUUUUCCGCCCCAAGUCAUUAUAACACCAGAGGAAUCAAUAUCACGAAUUUUAGAAACUGAGACGACCGCUGUUCAAACUGAGCGUACUCAGCCAGAUGGGCAUGCUGAAAUCCUAUCUGAAAAUGAAGCCAUAUCCAGUUCACAACAAACUGUCAUCUUUAAAGAAGAUAAUCUUGAUGGAGUGCUAGAUAGCAUAUCGCAUGAUCUGGAUUACUUGCUAAAUAGAAGUGAUGAAGCUGAAACUGUAAUGGGAGUGUCGACUCUAACUAGAAAAAUGCCCAAGCCUUUAGGUGCAAGUGUUGUUAAUCAAGUUCCGGAAGAGUUAAUAACCACGGUUGAGAGUGGGCCUGGCCCAGAUAGUAUUAUGUUACGGACUAAUUGUUAAGUUAUAAUAUUACGAGUAAGUUUAGUAAAAUCAGUAUUAUAAAUUUUAGCUAUAAAUUUAUAACUAAAAUAAAUCAAAAUGUUUUAAUCAAAUUGCUCUGUAUCCUACUUGUAAAUAGUGACCAACGAAUCAACUGGAACGGAAACUGUAAAAAGACCACAAAACGAAUUAAUUUAAUUUCUAUUUGGCUGUGACUAUUGUAAACUUGUAAUAUACAUUUUUUAAUAAGAAUAAUAAAAGAUAUUGCCGUGUUAA